rnacentral:rRNA from 1 species
UACGAGGGGGGCGAUCGUUGUUCGGAAUUAUUGGGCGUAAAGGGUGCGUAGGCGGUUUGGUAAGUCUUGUGUGAAAUCUACAGGCUCAACUUGUAGUCUGCACGAGAAACUGCCGGGCUUGAGUGUGGGAGAGGUGAGUGGAAUUCCUGGUGUAGCGGUGAAAUGCGCAGAUAUCAGGAGGAACACCGAUGGCGAAGGCAGGUCUCUGGGCCAUUACUGACACUGAGAAGCGAAAGCAUGGGGAGCGAACAGG